UGUAUUUUUCAGAUUCAGAUUUGAAUUCUAUGACUAUCAUUGUUGAAUAUAUUUUCAUUAAUUUUGGGAGUAGUCCAAUAAAUGAUUACGUAAUUUUUCUCAGAAAAGAGGCAAUAAGUAUUAUUUUAAUUGAUACCUAUUUUUAAAAAUAACCUUUUUUGUUGAAACCUGAAAUUUGAAAGCACACUAUGUCUCUUGUAACAAUAAUUUUACCCUUUCUCUCCACCACUGCCUAACCGUAAAUUUGGGUACCUUCCCUGACCUGUUAACGCGGCUGCAAUACAGUCGUUUCCAGCUGAUGCGGUUCCCGCCAAGUGUUGUUGAGUGAGUUACGGGACUUGAGCUUAUUAACGCUUUACUACUGGGGAUAAAUAUAUUAUUGUUCCGGACGAAAAUAUGUCGAUUUUCCUUUAAAUUUUCUCUAGUGUGUUUGUGUGUGAUUUAAAGUACAAGAUUUCGUCUGUGCUCCCCACUAUCGUGUAUUCCGAAACUAUACUGAAUGCUUACGCUGCCAUAAGAAAUACAAAUACAAGAAAAACUGCGUACAACAUAUUCGUUUGCAGUGUUUCAAGGAACCCCAGUUUGUAUGUAGUAUUUGUAACAGAAGUUACAAAUUCAAAAAGGAUUUGGUGCGACAUGUCACAGAAAAACAUUUACAUUUUGACAUUUAAUUUCAUAUGUGAAUGUGAUAUUUAAUAUUUUCUCUAAGGAGCUUAUUCGAAUGACCAGUUCAAAUUCCUAGAUGUUUUCAGUUACUUAAUAAUUAUACUUAAUCAUUGUUUUGUAAAAUAAUCUCUGGGGUAUAGAGAUAAUGUAUUGAAAGACUUGGAUAAUGAAUAAAAUGCUUUGAGUUGAA